rnacentral:lncRNA from 1 species
AAAUGCUAUUAACACACCUGCUAGCUGCAAUAAUGUCCACAUGUCAACAUGUACACAAAACAGAUAGUGUUCACACACGCAUACCUAUGCCUUUAAACCAACUAGUGUUAAAUCUUUCAUUCAUUCAAUCAUGCAAACUAUUAGUGCAAAGGUGAGCUAACACCUGUGCUCAGGUGAGUGUUUAUGUUCUUCUAAAAUGGAUGGUGGAAUGUAAAAAGAGGAGCGCCCAGCCACCCCCAGACCCCCGCCGCAGCAGCAGCGGCAGCCGGAACCCCCCAACGCCACACGGCGGCAGGCAGGGGACAACCGUCCCCCCGGGCGACCAAAUCCGCCACCCAGGCCAGGAACAGCAGGACCGCCGCGAGGCCCCCAGAGCCUGAGAGCAGGGAAGCACGGGGGAAAGAGAGCGGCGCCCCAGCCCAACCAGGAGAGCAGCCCCCCCCGCCGCACCGGAAGAGCCCAACGCAGGGCCCCACCAGAGAAGGACACCCACAGCCCCAGACGAGCACCCCAUCACCAUCCAGGAGUUCCGGGCAUCCUCCCGCCCCAACCCCAGGUACGAGCCAGGACCCCCCAAGGGAGACCCCCUCCGCGCUCCAGGCAGCCACCCACCCGGCCCACAGUUGGUCCAGGGAGGAGCAAGGCAGGGGCCAGCCACCCCCACCCUGGAGGGGAGCACCCCGGGGAAAAAGGGGGGCCCACAAGGGGUGUUGUAAACAUGGCCCAACCAGGCUCGGCCACUGUUGGAAGUUUGGCGGGGCCCAGCGCCCAGGGGCAAGGACCAGAACCCAUCCCCAGGGACACGGACACCCCCGGCUCAGGUGUUAUGUGAAACCCCCCCCAUUUUUCUGUUUUAUGGAGCACCUUGAAUUACUUUGUGUACGAAUUGUGCUAUACAAAUAAACUUGCCUUGCCUUUAAUUAUAAUUAUGCUGUUUUUAGCCAAAAAUCACCUGUCAUCACAACUACAAUCUUUUUCAAACUAGAUUUUUCAUCUCCUGAUUUACAACAAUUCAGAUAAAGAAAUACUCAGAAAUGCAAUUUCAAUCUUAACUUUCUC